rnacentral:rRNA from 1 species
UACGGAGGGUGCGAGCGUUGUUCGGAAUUACUGGGCGUAAAGCGCACGUAGGCGGCUUUGUAAGUUAGAGGUGAAAGCCCAGGGCUCAACCCUGGAAUUGCCUUUAAGACUGCAUCGCUUGAACAUCGGAGAGGUAAGUGGAAUUCCGAGUGUAGAGGUGAAAUUCGUAGAUAUUCGGAAGAACACCAGUGGCGAAGGCGACUUACUGGACGAUUGUUGACGCUGAGGCACGAAGGCCAGGGGAGCAAACGGG